GCAUUGGUGGUUCAGUGGUAGAAUUCUCGCCUGCCAUGCAGGGGGCCUGGGUUCGAUUCCUGGCCAAUGCA